rnacentral:rRNA from 1 species
GAGUUUGAUUAUGGCUCAGGAUGAACGCUGGCGGCAGGCCUAAUACAUGCAAGUCGAGGGGUAACGCUUCGGGCGACGACCGGCGAAUGGGUGCGUAACGCGUAUAUAACUUGCCCGUAACAGGUGAAUAGCUCUUCGAAAGGGGAAUUAAUACGCCGUAUUUUCAAGUUAUCGCAUGGUAAUUUGAAGAAAGCAUUUGUGGUUACGGAGAGGUAUGCGUUCCAUUAGUUAGUUGGUAAGGUAACGGCUUACCAAGACAAUGAUGGAUAGGGGUUCUGAGAGGAAGAUCCCCCACACCGGAACUGAGACACGGUCCGGACUCCUACGGGAGGCAGCAGUAGGGAAUCUUGGUCAAUGGGCGAUAGCCUGAACCAGCCAUGCCGCGUGCGGGAUGACGGCACUCGUUGUUGUAAACCGCUUUUAUACAGGAAGAAAGAGUCCUUGCGAGGAUAGUUGACGGUACUAUAUGAAUAAGCACCGGCUAACUCCGUGCCAGCAGCCGCGGUAAUACGGAGGGUGCAAGCGUUGUUCGGAAUUAUUGGGCUUAAAGGGUGCGUAGGCGGCUAGAUAAGUCAGUAUUGAAAGGUUGCGGCUUGACCGUGAGAGUGGUAUUGAAACUAUUUAGCUUGAGUGUUAGGGAAGGAGCAGGAAUCGGCGGUGUAGCGGUGAAAUGCAUAGAUAUCGUCGAGAAGGUCGAUAGCGAAAGCAUGUUCCUGUCUAACAACUGACGCUGAGGCACGAAAGUAUGGGUAGCGAACGGGAUUAAAUACCCCGGUAGUCCAUACCGUAAACGAUGAUGACUGGAUGGGUGGUUUUCGGACUGCCUGNUUUANCNGAAAGCAUUAAGUCAUCCGCCUGGGGGAGUACGUC